rnacentral:rRNA from 1 species
UACGAAGGGUGCAAGCGUUAAUCGGAAUUACUGGGCGUAAAGGGUGCGUAGGCGGUUCGUUAAGUCUGUCGUGAAAUCCCCGGGCUCAACCUGGGAAUGGCGAUGGAUACUGGCGAGCUAGAGUGUGUCAGAGGAUGGUGGAAUUCCACGUGUAGCGGUGAAAUGCGUAGAGAUGUGGAGGAACACCAGUGGCGAAGGCGACUCUUUGGCCUGUAACUGACGCUGAGGCGCGAAAGCGUGGGGAGCAAACAG